rnacentral:rRNA from 1 species
ACGACCUGUAUCCAAGUCAGGAAUUUGCACAGGUGCUGCAUGGCUGUCGUCAGCUCGUGCCGUGAGGUGUUAGGUUAAGUCCUGCAACGAGCGCAACCCUCGUCGCUAGUUAAUUUCUCUAGCGGUACUGCCCGUAUAACGCGGAGGAAGGUGGGGAUGACGUCAAGUCAGGCAUGGCCCUUACAUCCUGGGCUACACACACGCUACAAUGGGUGAUACAACAGGUAGCAAUAGAGCGAUCUGGAGCCAAUCCAAAAAUCAUCCUCAGUUCGGAUUGCAGGCUGGCAACUGCCUGCAUGAAGUUGGAGUUGCUAGUAAACGCAGGUCAGCACACUGCGUUGAAUACGUUCUCGGGCCUU